CUUUAAUUGGAAUUUGUAAUUUAAGGAAAAUGUGAUUUUUGAGGCAAUUUUAACCUAGCUAGUAGUUAAUCGGUUUCAGAACAAAAGUUGUCUUGCGUCUGACUGACUAACUCUCCGGCCGCCGGCGUGACCUCCAGAUUAGAAUGGAGAAGAAGUACGCCUCCGGCGGAAAACCGCCCCUCCCUCCAAGGCCAUUCAAGGUUGCCGAUACGGAGCUGUUUAAUCACUAUGUGAUAAAAGCGGGUGCUUCGGCCUUUAUACAUACGUUGAAGAAAGAGUACAAGCUCAAGGAAGAGUGGUCUCAUGAAUAUGAUAAGAAUCUGGCUCAACUUAUUUUAAUCAAGCUUGGAUCUAGCCUAUCCUACAACCCCAAACCCCUACCAGAGCUUCCCAAUUAUGGUUCAUUGGAUGACACUGCUUAUUUCUUCUCAACCGCUGUCCAGCUUCUCUUCAAGGUGCUGCUAAGGAGAAGCGUAGCUCAUUCAAAAAAACACUUUCUUUUCAUGUUCAUCAUGCUGCUGCUACUCCUCCCUCCAAGAAGCUCAAGGCUGGAUCCUAUAAUGUUUAUAUAGCGUGACUUGCAAUGUUAUAUUCUGCUCGAUCGAUUUCAGUUUUUCAACUCUUUCUUGUGUUCGUCAACAAGAAGCAGGAGUAUGAAGUAUUGUUAACUUUCUGUUCUGCUCUGUCAUUUUUUGAAUUAUGAUGGUGGUAGCAGAGAGCAAGUGUUGCUACUUUAGUUGCUCUCUGUGCUUUUUAAAUACAGAGAAUUGAAAUUACUCUAUUUAUCUGCUUGUGCUGAAGCAGGGAUACAAACAUUGUAACCUUCAUUGCGUGGUUUUGGUUUUGCAGCAUAGAGGAGAAAUGGCUCUUAUGUAGUUGUCAUAUAUGGCAUGGAACUAAUCUAUUUAGGAAAUAUGCUUGAUUACCUGAGUAAA